UACGGAGGGUGCAAGCGUUACUCGGAAUCACUGGGCGUAAAGAGCGCGUAGGCGGGAUAGCAAGUCAGAUGUGAAAUCCUAUGGCUUAACCAUAGAACUGCAUUUGAAACUGUUAUUCUAGAGUAUGGGAGAGGUAGGUGGAAUUCUUGGUGUAGGGGUAAAAUCCGUAGAGAUCACGCAGAACUCCGAUUGCGAAGGCAGCAUACCGGCGCCCAACUGACGCUGAAGCACGAAAGCGUGGGUAUCGAACAGG
rnacentral:rRNA from 1 species